CCACCCCUCCAUCUCUAGAAUGACGUGCAGGACAACACUCCCUACAUUGUUUCCACUCCAGGACCUCACGUCACAGGGAUCAGAGUAGACUUGGCCCGGCCUCAGCAGAGAGUACGUCAAUACAUCCACAACCGUCCGUUUGUCAUGACCCACGGCCAACACCUCGCUCACCACCUGCCUUCUCCAGGUGAACAGGGUGAGCAUGAAACACUAUCGUGGGACUGAUUGUGUUGAAAAUCCAGCCACUUCCAGAACUGAACAGAACAUCUUUUCACCUCCAGUUGACUGGGAAAAACAGCAAAAACAGAUUGAGAAAUCACUGGAAGGAGAUUCCAUUACCAGCAUUCACUCAUCGCUCUCAAACAAUGAACCCUGUACAGUGAGCUUCACAUGGA